rnacentral:rRNA from 1 species
UGAACGCUGGCGGUAUGCCUUAUACAUGCAAGUCGUACGAGAGUUUUUAACUCAAGUGGCGGACGGGUGAGUAACACGUAAGAAUUUGCCUUUAGGAGGGGGAUAACAACUGGAAACGGUUGCUAAUACCCCAUAUGCUUUCGAGUGAAAUGGAUUUAUAUUUAUCCGCCUAGAGAGAAGCUCGCGGCUGAUUAGCUUGUUGGUAAGGUAAGAGCUUACCAAGGCGACGAUCAGUAUCUGGUUUGAGAGGACGAUCAGACACACUGGAACUGAGACACGGUCCAGACUCCUACGGGAGGCAGCAGUGGGGAAUUUUCCGCAAUGGGCGAAAGCCUGACGGAGCAAUACCGCGUGAGGGAUGACGGCCUAUGGGUUGUAAACCUCUUUUUUCAGGGAGGAAUAAAAUGACGUGUACCUGAAGAAUAAGCAUCGGCUAACUCC